GGAUUAGAUACCCUGGUAGUCCACGCCGUAAACGAUGUGUGCUAGCUGUCGGAUGUUCAGCAUUCGGUGGCGGAGCGAAAGUAUUAAGCACACCGCCUGGGGAGUACGGCCGCAAGGUUAAAACUCAAAGGAAUUGACGGGGACCCGCACAAGCGGUGGAGCAUGUUGUUUAAUUCGAAGCAACGCGAAGAACCUUACCCACACUUGACAUACCUCUUGGGACUUUCAGAGAUGAUUGUCUUCGGUUCGGCCGGGGAGUGUACAGGUGCUGCAUGGCUGUCGUCAGCUCGUGCCG
rnacentral:rRNA from 1 species